ACGAAAUAUACAUUUAUUAUUUAAACGUAAAAAUUGGGACUGUUUUGGUCACGAUUAUUAAUAUUUCAUAGGGGGUGCGUCGUGUACAAGUCCGCCAAUUAUGCAAAAAUAUAUGCAAUCCAUAUAGUCUAUAUUAUAGAAAUAAAAGUUCAACUAAUCCUUUACUAGUAGUAAAGGGUUAGUUGAACAAUUAUUUCUAUAAUAUAGACUAAAUGGAUUAUUUAUAGUCUUGUUUAACUUUAUAUUUUAGACAUGUAGUAACAUACCAUAUUAGUUUAAAUCAGUUGUAAAAUUAAAAAUGUUAACAUCUUCGAUAGGUAUAUUUAUUUAGAUUAUUUACAGCUAAGUUUACAUGGCUAGUUAAUAUGCUUUUAUAAAUUGCAAUUUUUAUUAAUUUUCAAAUUAAACAUGUGGCAUCCAAUAUCAUAAACUAAGAUAAUACUGGUGUGUUUAUGUUAUUUUAGAAUUUUUUGUUUUAGACACAUGACAUUUGUUAUCCCACUAAUUUGCUGCUUUAGAGGCAUGGCAUUUAGUGUCACAUUAAUUUACUGUUUUAGACAUGUGGCAUGUGGUAUCCCACUACACUUGGUAUAAGCUGUCAUACUACACGUGGCAUGUGGUAUCCCACAAAUUAGCAAUUUAAACAUGUGACAAGUGGUAUGAUACUGUAUUGAUCUAUGUGAAAUGUAUAGAGUCUUUCAAUUAUCAGAUAAUGUCAAGGGAUUUGACAGCAUGGUGUCCGAUUUAAAGUGCGAACCUGUGUACGAGUAACAACAGUAUUCAAAACCAAAACCUAUUUACACCAACCAAACCAAAACUAGCGACCAAAAACUAUCUUGGCAUUGGUUUAUUUUAAACAUCUAUUAUAUAUAUGUGUGUUUUUUAUAUAAAUGUACUAGAUUUAGUAUA